rnacentral:misc_RNA from 1 species
GAUGAAGAACGUAGCGAAAUGCGAUAAGUAAUGUGAAUUGCAGAAUUCAGUGAAUCAUCGAAUCUUUGAACGCACAUUGCGCCCGCCAGAAUACUGGCGGGCAUGCCUGUCCGAGCGGCAUUUCAACCCUCGAACCCCUCCGGGGGGUCGGCGUUGGGGAUCGGCCCUCCCUUAGCGGGUGGCCGUCUCCGAAAUACAGUGGCGGUCUCGCCGCAGCCUCUCCUGCGCAGUAGUUUGCACACUCGCAUCGGGAGCGCGGCGCGUCCACAGCCGUUAAACACCCAACUUCUGAAAUGUUGACCUCGGAUCAGGUAGGAAUACCCGCUGAACUUAAGCAUAUCAAUAAGCGGAGGA